rnacentral:RNase_MRP_RNA from 1 species
GGAUGUUCUGAAGACCUGCUCGCUAGGCCACGCACGGAGGACACUAGUUCCUCAAGGGCCCCGCGCCCGCCUAGGGGAAAGUCCCCGGACCGCCGGCAGAGAGUGCCGGGCGCUGCCAGCGCUCUCGCCCGCCCCCACCUCACGCAGCUCCCGCCGAGACGCCCCCGGGCCGAGCGGGUGAGCGCGGGGCGGGCUCUCGUCACGGCCACAGACACGCAGGUAGUGCGCAGGCGCACUAACAGAACGGGGCUCACUCUCAGGCCAUC